GCGCCGGUGGCUCAGCUGGAUAGAGCACCAGACUACGAAUCUGGGGGUCAGGAGUUCGAAUCUCUUCCGGCGCACCA
rnacentral:tRNA from 2 species